AGUAUCGCGAGAUCAGGAAGGUGGCCGAGUGUGUCGCCGCGGCCAUCAGGCACUUCUCCUUCCUGCCCUUGUAUGAAGAAGGAUGUGUUUGCUUCCCCUUGUGCCAUGAUUGUAAAUUUCCUGAGGCCUCCUCAGCCCUGCAGAACUGGGGUUAUAGCCAUGUGACUGAUCUUCGUCCAAGAAUAUGUAAAGAAAAAGUGUUGAGUUGGCUUUUAGUUUGGACCACACAUUUCAUGUCUUGGCUAUUUCAAUAGUUUUCCAGUUAAUCAACAUGACUAGUAUUCCCCAAAUUGGGUUAACAACAUCUAAAACCACCAGGGCUAGAGCAAUGUAUCUUAGGCUCACUUAAGGAAGCUGUAGAGAUGAGCCCAAGGAGGGAAACCAGAAGAGCCCCCCAGGCUCACCAGUUGUUUGUUGGCUCCCUACAAACAUGUCAUUCAAGUGGCUAAUCUUACAACAGCACAAAUUCAUCUAACCAGAAAGAGAAGAGGAGGCUCCAAAGGCACUUGACUACUGAGCAUCACCCUGGACGUGUACAAGUCUGCGUCCUUAUUGUUUUCUUCAUUGGGCCG
rnacentral:lncRNA from 10 species